rnacentral:rRNA from 2 species
AAUUUAAAAUCUGACAGUCUUUGACUGUUCGAGUUGUAAUCUAGAGAAGUGUUAUCCGUGCUGGACCGUGUACAAGUCUCCUGGAAUGGAGCGUCAUAGAGGGUGAGAAUCCCGUCUUUGACACGGACUGCCAGUACUUUGUGAUGCGCUCUCAAAGAGUCGAGUUGUUUGGGAAUGCAGCUCAAAAUGGGUGGUAAAUUCCAUCUAAAGCUAAAUAUUGGCGAGAGACCGAUAGCGAACAAGUACCGUGAGGGAAAGAUGAAAAGAACUUUGGAAAGAGAGUUAAACAGUACGUGAAAUUGUUGAAAGGGAAACGCUUGAAGUCAGUCGCACUGACCAGGGAUCAACUCAACUUUUUUGUUGGGCGUACUUCCUGGCUUAGUGGGUCAGCAUCAAUUUUGACCACUGGAAAAAGGCUAAGGGAAUGUGGCACCUUUGGGUGUGUUAUAGCCCUAGUUGUAUACAGUGGUUGGGAUUGAGGAACUCAGCACGCCGCAAGGCCGGGUCUUUGACUACGUUCGUGCUUAGGAUGCUGGCAUAAUGGCUUUAAUCGACCCGUCUUGAAACACGGACCAAGGAGUCUAACAUGCCUGCGAGUGUUUGGGUGGAAAACCCGAGCGCACAAUGAAAGUGAAAGUUGAGAUCCCUGUCAUGGGGAGCAUCGACGCCCAGACCUGAACUUUUGGGAUGGAUCUGCGGUAGAGCAUGUAUGUUGGGACCCGAAAGAUGGUGAACUAUGCCUGAAUAGGGUGAAGCCAGAGGAAACUCU